UUUAUUUAAAUUUUUUAUUAUUUUUUUAGUUACACUUUAUUAGUCUGGCUUCUAGACUCUAUUUGGCAUUAGUACUUUAGUAUAUACGUCGUGCUUUACUUUUAAGUAAUUUUUAAAAAAAUUAAUCAAAAUCAGUGAAAUAUAUUUUUUUUGAAAACUUUUUGGAAGAAACUAAAACUAAAACUCUAAAAAUGCAUAAAACAAAAACUUUAAAGAAGAAUAUCAAAACAAAGAUUAUUCCAAACCAAGUUUGGCGUUUGAGUCCUAAAAACCAAAAACACCAUUCUGGAAACCAUGUCAAACGAACCAGUCUCUUUCGAAGAUUUGAAAUUUGAGAGUUCUAAAGAAAGGAAAAGUUUAUAUCAAAAAGGAUUUUGAAAGAAAAAACAAUAACUAUCAACUUUAAUAAUUGUGAGUUGCCCCACUUGUCUACGGCUUUGGGCCCUCUUGGUUAGGACUCAUCGCUUAGAUUCCUCAUUACUACUUUUAUUUUGACAAAAAAAAAAACAAAUGGUUUUGGUUCAGAAGACUUGGCGAUUAUAUGAAGCCGCGUGUGUGGAAGAAAGAGCUACAUGAACAAAGAACAAUCAACAAUAAAAAUUUUAUAAGCAACGGAAAUUUUCAAAUAAAUUACUCUCCACAACUUUCUUGGGAAAAUGGUUCUCUGACUCAAAUUUUCGGAUGUGGUAUUGUUGGUGGUAACAUCUUUAAGGUGGACUAAUACUUGUGCGAGAGUACCUGGGCAAAUUUCAACAUUGCUACAAACUUCAAUGUUCAAACAAUAGUCAUAACAUGCUUAUAUAUAGGCUUGUAAUUGUGAAUUGGGUAUGUAGCGUUUUAUUUAUUUUCUGUCUCAUUUGUUUAUUGUGUUUUAUUAUAAUUAUUAUUAUUAUUAUUAUCAUUUAACACGAAAGCUUUGAUUAAUUGGGAUUCCUAGGAUCAAAGUUGUAUAAUUAUUAUUAUUAUUAUCAUUUCGAGUAAGGUUAUAAAUAA